GCGUCGGUGGCUUAGUGGUUAAGCACUUGACUUGUAAUCUGUAGGUCCUGGGUUCAAGUCCCAGGAUGUA
rnacentral:tRNA from 1 species